UUCAUACAUGGAAAAUCGUUACCGAGGGAAAAACCGAAGAGGAGAAAGUCGGCUUUUACAAGAUAUUAAGCAACUUAAUGUGGAAUGAAGCUAAUGGUGCUGCUGCUGAAGACACGGAGGAAGGACUGUCAUUACUCUAAACCUCCUAAACAACUCCCUGCAAGGAUGAUUCCACUGCUUUGAGCCUAUCGUCGAUAUUCAAGCCCAGACAUCGGCUACUGUUUACAAUUUGCAUAACGCUAUGCUGUGUGCCCUGUAACUGAUUUCUCUGUUUUCUGUUUUGCCAGCUCAACAAGCCGAAUUAAUUCUAGCUGAUGCCUCAAAGAUGAAAAUUUGCAAUGAUUAAUCUGCUGUCUGUAGGAGAAAGAUUCUUUGUAAACAUUAAUUUAAGUAACCUCGUAAAAUGAAGUAAGAAACAUUCAAGAAUAGACAAAUAGACAAUUCGUUUCUUUUAUUCCACAAAACCAAACAAAACCGAACCGGUACAUUUCAUGAUAUCCGACAACCGACGCCAUUGUUACAUGAUUACAUCGUUCCAAUACAAGUAGAGACUUCUUCACACACAUGAAAUAAGUGCUGCUCUCUAGCGUGAAUCAACAUUAUCAAUACGCCUCCUUAAAUUUAUCUUUUACUCUAAGAAGGUACAAAGAUGAAUUUACAAAUAUUUCAAAUACAAAGAAAAACUUACAUUUAAAUACAAAUUUGUUACAAAAAAAGAUUUCAGUUAAUACGCCUCCUCAAAUUUGUGUUUGAAUUUAUGUUAUUUACUUUUAAUGUGUUGGACUUGUUGAACUUGUUUUUUUUUAAUUUUCUCUCACUUUAAAUUUAAAUUUCGACGAAAUUUUUCAAAUUUAAUUUUGCCAAGUGGCCUCGUAAAUAAAUCAGCAGUGUUCUCAUCUGAAUCAAUAGGAAGAAUAUCAAUUACACCCUUUUUAUAGUUGUCAUUAAUGAAAUGAUAAUGAAUCUCGAUAUGUUUGGAGUUUUUAGUAAAAUUUCCACGCUGAGCUAUGUCUAGGGCUCCUGAAUUGUCUUCAAACACUUUAAUUGGCAUUUUAAUUUCUACAUUAAAAAAUUUAAUUAAUUCUUUAACAAAUAAUAAUUCUGAAAUGGCUUCCGACAAAGCAACAUAUUCAGCAAAUGUACUACUUUUAGUAACAAUACUUUCUUUCAUUGUUUUCCAAAAUACUAAAUUUCCAAAAAAGUUGAUGAUAAACCCAGAGGUUGACUUUCUAUCUACAUUAUCUCCGGCCCAAUCAGAGUCUGAGAAACAAACCAAAAUUUCAGGAUUACCUAGCUGAUUUUUCAUAAACCAAUUUCAUAUCUUUUGUUAAAAACAAGUAUUUCAGUACACGCAAAGCAUACUUAAAGUGUGGCUGAUCAUAUGUAGUCAUAAAUCUACUCAAAUAAUUUACAGAAAAUGCAAUGUCUGGUCGCGUUGCACAGCUUACAUACAAAAGUGCUCCUAUUAGAUUUCUGUAAGAUAAGUUUUCACACUCAGCAGCUGGUUCCAAUUUCAAGUUUUCUUCCAUUGGUGUCUUAUACAAUUUGCUACUUUCUAUGCCAUAUUUAUGAGCUAGUGAUUCAAUAUAUUCACUUUGACUAAGCGUCAUUACCUGUGUGUAUAAAUUGUAAUUUACAUCUAUUCCUAGGUAUCUUUUAAUUCUACCAAGAUCUUUCAUAUGGAAUUUUGCUUUUAAUUUGUUUUUAACAUCAUUAAUGCAUGAUACAUUUUCACUACAAACUAGUAAAUCAUCGACAAAUAUGAUAAUAUAGACAACUUUACCUUUUUGAUUUUUCAAUACAUAAAGACAGUUUUCUAUUAAACAUCUUUCGAAACCUAGACUUAUCAAAUGAUCAUCAAAGCAGUCAUACCACACACGUGGACUUUCUUUUAAUCCAUACAAGGCCUUUUUUAGUCUGUAGACUUUACCUUCUACCUUUCCAAAACCUGGUGGCUGAUUUACGUAAACUUCAGAGUUUAUUUUACCGUUUAGAAAUCCUGUGUCGACAUCCAUUUGAUGAAUAUCCAAUCCAUUCUGACAACAAUAUGACAACAACAUUUUUAAAGUUUCCAUCUUUGUUACUGGAGAAUAUGUUUCCUCUGUUAGUUCUGUCUGCUGAAAACCUCUUACCACAAGCCUAGCUUUAAAAUUAUUUUCUGCCUUUUUAGUAUAAAUCCACUUAACAUCUAAUAUUUCUUUAUCAACUGGUUUGUUCACAAGAGACCAUGUAUCAUUUUUGUUUAAACUAUUAAAUUCCUUCAUCAUUGCCUCCUUCCACUUGUCAGCUUCAUUACUCUUUAUUGCAUUCUCAUAGGUAUCAGGUAUAUUAUCAUUACAGUAAUUUACAUAAGCACAAUGGUAAACAUAAUUUUCAUCAUAUCUCACAGGUUUUUUUCUUUCUCUGACAGGUUUCUCAGAUUUUUCUUCACUCGAAUUUUCAUUUCUCUCUUUAUUUGCACGACUUUGGUCUUUUUUGUUUUCUUUGUCUGGUUUUAAAUCAUCAUCUGAAUCACUUUCUUCCUUAAAACUAAUACAUUGUACAUUUUCUUCAAUAAUAUCCACAUGUCUUGCCGUUAUUACCUUUCCAUUUACAAGAACUCUAUAGCAAACUUCUGUAUAUCCAAGCAGAAUACCUUUAUCUGCUUUUCUAUCCCAUUUUGAUGCUCGCUUCUCUUCUGGAACUCUCACGAAUGUUGUGCUACCAAACAGGCGUAAAUACUUAACACUAGGUUUUUUGUUAAACAUUAUUUCAUAAGGAGUUUUCUUUUCAAAUGUGUUUGCUAAGGUUCUGUUUUUCUAGUAAGCAGCUGUACAAACAAUUUCAGGCCAAAAUUUUAAUUCAACUUUUGCCUCUGCAAGUAAACAUCUAGAUAUAUCCAUGAUUGAUCUGUUACACCUUUCGGCUGUUCCGUUGAGCUGAUGAACAUAAGGAGGGCACGGAUUUAUUUGAAUGCCUUUACUUCUCGCAAAAUCAUAAACAUCUUUGUUCAGAUAUUCAGUUCCGUUAUCACACCGAAUUUUUUUUACACGUUUAUUCAACAAGUUUUCUACUUCAUUAACAUAUUUAAUAAAACAAUUUACCACUUCGUCUUUUGUCUUUAUGGGAUAAACUCUACCAACCUUACUGUAAUCAUCUAGAAAAGUUAAAAAGUACUUUUCACCAUUCACUCCUGGAGUUCUAUGAGGUCCGUUCAGAUCUAUGUGAAUGAUUUCUAAACACUCUGUUGCUCUAGUUCUAUUAUUUUCAAAUGGAAGAUUGUGCAUUUUAUUCUCAAUACAUAUGUGGCACUUCAUGUAAUCAGAUUCUAAAUUUUCAGGCAAAUCAUGAAGUAACUUAUUUUUGACAAUUGUGUCCAAGUAUUUAAAAUUUACAUGACCCAAAGUGCGAUGCCAACGUUCUUUAACACUCAUCUUUUCUUUCUCUUUUUUAUCAACUAAAUAUACAUUAGAAGAUUCACAACUAACAAAACUAGUCAAACGAUACAAUUUAUUUUCCUUUUUAGCAAUUGCCAGCAAAUUUCUGUCUGGACCAUAAAUUUUACCAAAUUCUCCUUUAUACACAAUAGUAUUGUUAUCAGUAAUCUUUGCUACACUCAGUAAAUUUACUUCCAUAUCCUUGACAUAAAACACAUUAGGAAUUUUAACUUUAGUUUCCUUACCAUAUACCAUAAAUGUAGCAUCUACUUGACCCACUUUGGUAGCCAUUAACACUCUUCCAUCUCCUACUCUCACUUUGAUGGGCUGAUCUAAAGUAAUAUAGUUACAAAAAUAAACAUCAGAAUUUAAUAUGUGGUCAGUACUGCCACUGUCUAAUAACCAUUUAAUCUCAUUGCAAGAUAGAUUACCUUCUUCAAUCUUUGAACAGUUCACCUGAGCAACAAAAGUACCCGCAUUUCCUCCAUCACUUGACUGGUGCUGUCCAUCUCUAAAGCCUCGACUACCUCUGUAGUAGCCUCUUCUGAAGUUUCCUCUGUGAUGCCCUCUACGGUUUCCACGAUGAUUUCCACGAGGGUUUCCUCUUUGAUUUCCUCGAUGUCCUCUUUUUGAAGCGUAGUAGCCACGACCUCGGUUACCACCAUAAUUGCAGUUUUGCUGAUAAUGUCCGUAGUUACCACAACUAUGACACGUUACAUGCUCCAUCUCAUUAACACACUCCGCUUGAUAAUGACCUAGCUUGCCGCAAUUAUAACAGGUUACAGUCUUAUGCGAAGCUACUCCUGCCGCAAAAGCACUUCCGUUUUCACCAAAUUGAUUUUCCGCAUCGUCACUAUAAUGUUCAACUUUUGGUUUUAGCUUCAGUUUAUUCUUCAAAUAGUCUACCGUUCUUUCAGCUUUUGGUAACACAUCCAUCAAAUCACCGAUGUGACUUAAAGAUGGGGGCAAAGCCUUUAACAUAUAAUUCAGCUCUUCAUCUUCAGAGACCGUUGCCCCUGCAUUUUUUAAUUCAUUUACACACUUUUCAAAUUCAUCAAAAAACUUUGUAGGGUCAGUCUUAUCUUUCAACUUUAGGUUCUCGAGGUUGGAGCGACACACAAUUUGUAGGGCAGUGGACUCUUUCAAGUACAUCUCAUCAAAUUUUUGCAUUAUUUCAUACGCACUUUCAAGAUUACUCACGUAUUCUAACUGCCUAUCAGAAAUGGCACUGUAAAUGAAGUUUGUUGCCUUGAUAUCCAUGUUCUCCCAGUCCUCCUGCUUAUCAUCUUUCUUCUUCUUUCGCUCCACAGUCACUUUACACUUCUUGAAUUCGAGAAAUUUCAAAAUGCGUUUUUUCCAGUUUGUGUAUGAGUUACCAUCGAAAAUUGGUAACAUCACAUCAUCACACUUUACCAUUUUCACACUCGUGGUACUUUUUCAAUUUAGGCCUCAAGUCCCGACAGCCAACACGCUACACACUCGAACUCGCGAUCAUAACAUGAUUUCGAAAACAAAUCAGCACUCGAGAAACCAACGCUCUGCUUCCAUGUUGAUAAAAUGAAGAAAUAGACAUUAUACGAUAGACUUAUUCGUUUCUUUUAUUCCACAAAACCAAACAAAACCGAACCGGUACAUUUCAUGAUAUCCGACAACCGACGCCAUUGUUACAUGAUUACAUCGUUCCAAUACAAGUAGAGACUUCUUCACACACAUGAAAUAAGUGCUGCUCUCUAGCGUGAAUCAACAUUAUCAAUAUAGAUUAA